UACCAGCACCCCGAGUGGUCGGGACGAUUAUUGGGCCUAAAGCAUCCGUAGCCGGUCCUACAAGUCUUCCGUUAAAUCCACCUGCUUAACAGAUGGGCUGCGGAAGAUACUAUAGGGCUAGGAGGCGGGAGAGGCAAGCGGUACUCAGUGGGUAGGGGUAAAAUCCUCUGAUCCAUUGAAGACCACCAGUGGCGAAGGCGGCUUGCCAGAACGCGCUCGACGGUGAGGGAGUGAAAGCUGGGGGAGCAAACCGG
rnacentral:rRNA from 1 species